GGAGAGGUGACCGAGCGGCCGAAGGUGCACGCCUGGAAAGUGUGUAGGGGGUUAACGCUCCCUCGUGGGUUCAAAUCCCACCCUCUCCGCCA
rnacentral:tRNA from 2 species